AGGACGAACGCUGGCGGCGUGCCUAACACAUGCAAGUCGAACGAGGUCCAUCCGGUAGCAAUACUGGUGAAGAUCAAGUGGCGAACGGGUGAGUAGCACGUGAGCAACCUGCCCCGAAGACCGGGACAACACCGGGAAACCGGUGCUAAUACCGGAUAUCCCCACCGAGUCGCAUGGCUUGGUGAGGAAAUGGAUUCCGCUUCGGGAGGGGCUCGCGGCCUAUCAGCUUGUUGGUGAGGUAAUGGCUCACCAAGGCUUCGACGGGUAGCUGGUCUGAGAGGACGAUCAGCCACACUGGGACUGAGACACGGCCCAGACUCCUACGGGAGGCAGCAGUGGGGAAUCUUGCACAAUGGGCGAAAGCCUGAUGCAGCAACGCCGCGUGAGGGACGAAGGCUUUCUGAGUUGUAAAACCUCUUUCAGCAGGGACGAUUGUGACGGUACCUGCAGAAGAAGCCCCGGCAACUACGUGCCAGCAGCCGCGGUAAU
rnacentral:rRNA from 1 species